rnacentral:lncRNA from 1 species
CUUGUAAUAACAAAAGGGAUUAAAGUUGAUUGGUGAAGUUGUUGUUGUUCAGUGGAGAAAUGGAAGAAGAUAAUAAGGUGGUUGUUAAUGGCUUCUCUCCGGUAACUUCCACUCCGGUAUUCUGGAAAUCUCGUAAGAGAUCAGGUUGAUAUGUUGAUGAACAUGCUUCAGGAGCCUGAGAACAUAGAAGAGGAUGAACUUCCACAAGAUCCAUAAGUUUACAUCUGUUAUUUAUUUGUUUGUUUGUUUGUUUGUUUUCAUCAUCUUGUUUGUUUGGCAUAUGGAGAGCUACCAAAAUAUUUAUAGAUAUAGCACCAAAUGUAUCAAAUUACAUGUAUAAUUUGUUUUUUUAUAUAUGUAUAAAAAGUACUGCAAGUAUUAAUAUUUGU